rnacentral:rRNA from 1 species
GAUGAACGCUGGCGGCGUGCCUAAUACAUGCAAGUCGAGCGAACAGACGAGGAGCUUGCUCCUCUGACGUUAGCGGCGGACGGGUGAGUAACACGUGGAUAACCUACCUAUAAGACUGGGAUAACUUCGGGAAACCGGAGCUAAUACCGGAUAAUAUAUUGAACCGCAUGGUUCAAUAGUGAAAGACGGUUUUGCUGUGACUUAUAGAUGGAUCCGCGCCGCAUUAGCUAGUUGGUAAGGUAACGGCUUACCAAGGCAACGAUGCGUAGCCGACCUGAGAGGGUGAUCAGCCACACUGGAACUGAGACACGGUCCAGACUCCUACGGGAGGCAGCAGUAGGGAAUCUUCCGCAAUGGGCGAAAGCCUGACGGAGCAACGCCGCGUGAGUGAUGAAGGUCUUCGGAUCGUAAAACUCUGUUAUUAGGGAAGAACAACUGUGUAAGUAACUAUGGAGGUCUUGACGGUACCUGAACAGAAAGCAACGGCUAACUACGUG